rnacentral:tRNA from 1 species
GGGCGGCUGGCGGAACAGGUAGACGCGCACGUUUGAGGGGCGUGUGGGGUGACCCAUCCGGGUUCGAGUCCCGGGCCGCCCACCA